UACCAGCACCCCGAGUGGUCGGGACGAUUAUUGGGCCUAAAGCAUCCGUAGCUUGUCCUGCAAGUCUUCCGUUAAAUCCACCUGCUCAACAGAUGGGCCGCGGGGGAUACUACAGGGCUAGGAGGCGGGAGAGGCAAACGGUACUCAGUGGGUAGGGGUAAAAUCCACUGAUCCGACUGAAGACCACCAGUGGCGAAGGCGGUUUGCCAGAACGCGCUCGACGGUGAGGGAUGAAAGCUGGGGGAGCAAACCGG
rnacentral:rRNA from 1 species